GUGGGUAUAGGUGAGUGGUAGAGCAUAUGCUUGGCAUGCAUGAGGUCCUGGGUUCAAUCCCCAGUGCCUCCG
rnacentral:tRNA from 1 species